GACGAACGCUGGCGGCGUGCCUAAUACAUGCAAGUCGAGCGAAUCAAUAGGAGCUUGCUCCUGUUGGUUAGCGGCGGACGGGUGAGUAACACGUGGGCAACCUGCCUGUAAGACUGGGAUAACACCGGGAAACCGGUGCUAAUACCGGAUAAUCCUUUUCCUCUCAUGAGGAAAAGCUGAAAGUCGGUUUCGGCUGACACUUACAAAUGGGCCCGCGGGGCAUUAGUGAGUUGGUGAGGUAACGGCUCACCAAGGCGACGAUGCGUAGCCGACCUGAGAGGGUGAUCGGCCACACUGGGACUGAGACACGGCCCAGACUCCUACGGGAGGCAGCAGUAGGGAAUCUUCCACAAUGGACGAAAGUCUGAUGGAGCAACGCCGCGUGAGCGAUGAAGGCCUUCGGGUCGUAAAGCUCUGUUGUUAGGGAAGAACAAGUAUCGGAGUAACUGCCGGUACCUUGACGGUACCUAACCAGAAAGCCACGGCUAACUACGUGCCAGCAGCCGCGGUAAGAC
rnacentral:rRNA from 1 species